UACGUAGGGGGCAAGCGUUGUCCGGAAUCAUUGGGCGUAAAGCGCGUGUAGGCGGCUCGAUAAGUCUGCUGUGAAAGUCCAGGGCUCAACCCUGGGAUGCCGGUGGAUACUGUCGAGCUCGAGUCCGGAAGAGGCGAGUGGAAUUCCUGGUGUAGCGGUGAAAUGCGCAGAUAUCAGGAGGAACACUAAUGGCGAAGGCAGCUCGCUGGGACGUGACUGACGCUGAGACGCGAAAGCGUGGGGAGCAAACAGG
rnacentral:rRNA from 1 species